rnacentral:rRNA from 1 species
AUUGAACGCUGGCGGCAUGCCUUACACAUGCAAGUCGAACGGUAACAGGUCUUCGGAUGCUGACGAGUGGCGAACGGGUGAGUAAUACAUCGGAACGUGCCUAGUAGUGGGGGAUAACUACUCGAAAGAGUGGCUAAUACCGCAUGAGAUCUACGGAUGAAAGCAGGGGAUCGCAAGACCUUGUGCUACUAGAGCGGCCGAUGGCAGAUUAGGUAGUUGGUGGGAUAAAAGCUUACCAAGCCGACGAUCUGUAGCUGGUCUGAGAGGACGAUCAGCCACACUGGGACUGGGACACGGCCCAGACUCCUACGGGAGGCAGCAGCGGGGAAUUUUGGACAAUGGGCGCAAGCCUGAUCCAGCAAUGCCGCGUGCAGGAUGAAGGCCUUCGGGUUGUAAACUGCUUUUGUACGGAACGAAAAGCCCUGGGUUAAUACCCUGGGGUCAUGACGGUACCGUAAGAAUAAGCACCGGCUAACUACGUGCCAGCCGCCGCAGUAAUAC